UAAUUGAUUAUGUUCACAAAACUCGAGGGACUUAGACGUCGGCUAAGAAGGACACCGACGUGAACUUCCCUGACAGGAAAUCAAACGUCAAUCGGUUUAGCUUCCAGACGUUGAAUAGAUGUCGGAUCCCCUGAAACCCGACGUCUAAUGGGUAUUCAAAAAGUCAGUAUUAAUGUUAACUUGAACGUCAUAUUAGUUAGAUACCCGACGUCUAUGUGACUAUAGACGUCGGUUGCCGUAGCAACCAACGC
rnacentral:lncRNA from 1 species